UACGGAGGGGGGCUAGCGUUGUUCGGAAUUACUGGGCGUAAAGCGCACGUAGGCGGCUUUGUAAGUUAGAGGUGAAAGCCCCAGGGCUUAACCCUGGAAUUGCCUUUAAGACUGCAUCGCUAGAAUCGUGGAGAGGUGAGUGGAAUUCCGAGUGUAGAGGUGAAAUUCGUAGAUAUUCGGAAGAACACCAGUGGCGAAGGCGGACUCACUUGGACACGGUAUUGACGCUGAGGUGCGAAAGCGUGGGGAGCAAACAGG
rnacentral:rRNA from 1 species